UGGAGAGAAGGCCAUUCUGAGGUCAACUGAAACCUCACUUGAGGGGCAGUUCCGUAGAUAGGAAUGAGGAGAGAGUCAUGGCCACAGCCACCUGGCCAAGGAGAGAGGCCGUAACUGCCAGACAGAACCGAGGAUGGAGGGGCUUCAGCAGCACGAACAAUCCACACUCAGCAUGGGUCACUCUCUGGGACACACAUUUCCCUCUGGCUGAAAGGCUGAGCUGCUCCAGGGCCAACUGUGAGGUCAGACAGCUGCCCAGGGAUGUCUCCGGCCACUCAAGGGAAGAAGAGACCACUCACCCGUAAUUUCAACAGCAACAAAAGACCUGAGGUUCCACCAUCAGAACUUCACGCCCUAAGGAAGAUGCAGCAUUUCCUGUAAAAUGCAAGUGCUCCCAGGCAGAGGUAGCUCCUGAAGCCAUGAUCAGUUAUGUAUACCUUAGUGGCAGCUGAUUAAUAGACCCUUCCCAAGAGCCAGCUGACAGGAAGCACAUCGGGGUAAAAGAGAAGAUGAAAACUUGGGUGCCUGGAGGAAGGGAACAAAUGCGAGCAGGAGCAUGGUAAUAACAUAGAAACCCUGGGCCCCUUCCCCAGCUGUCAUGAAGGUGCCUGAGUGAUGGUCAGAGAGAUGACCGGAGAGGCCCACCCGGCCACCGCAGCAGCAGCAGCCAAGGCGGGACUAAGCCUCCACACCCCACAUCUCAUUCGUGGCCAGCCCGGGAUGCCUGCCUCUCCUGCCCUGUGGUGUUGCUGUCCUCAUAUGACCCUUCAGCCCCCGACAUGUGUCAGAUGCAUAUGUGAAUGAGACCAUCCUAGACCUGCUGAUAGCCCAUCACCCGGCUGACUGCUACUGAGUAACCUCUGCCAACUUCACGCCG
rnacentral:lncRNA from 1 species